GGCAGCACGGCGAGGAAGGUCCAGCCCUUCACCAUAAGCACCAAGCUCUCCCUGCCCAAGUGUGCCGCCGACUUCUCCGGGGAUGCUUGCCCUGGCAUCGCUCUCUCCUCCGCUCUGGAUAACCACCGCGGCCUUCGACACAACCUCAACGAGCGUAUCUCCCUCUACCUGGCCCAGGCCCGGGCCAGCCCCGCUCCCCCUGACAGCCAGCCCCGCAGCACCAGCCCCGUGGAAGAAGGAGUCACCGAUGAGGACCAGCUUAACCGCAACUCUCUUGCCCGCUCCAUUAAGAAGAUCACGCUGUCUAACUGGCAUGGGGAGGCUGGCUCAGGUGAUGCAGUGGGACCCGGGGACCCUGCCCGGACCGGCGGCGAGAGGAACCACAACAACAACAACAGCAGGCCAGGGAAAGCUCAGUUCAAGGUCUUUCUCAGAAAGGAAGUGGACGUGGAGGAAGAGAAGCAGGAGGCCAAGAGCCCCCAUGCUGGUGGUUUCUGCUCGCCGGUGGACCGAGGCUCACCCUUCUACGCGCUCACAGGAGGCCCCGCGGCGGCUCCUCGGAGAGAAAGUCCCAAGAGCAAGGAGCCCGCCGCAGCCACCGCACCGAAAAGCGGUGGGCGCAGCCGCGCGCGGC
ensembl:lncRNA